UAUCUACAAUAAUUUAGAGGCAUUUGGUUUUCUUUAUAGAUUUUUUUUUCUCCAAUAGUCAUCUUUAUUGCCUUUUAGUGUUUUUCAUCCACCGUGUACAUCAAGAGCACUUCUGCACAAACAUACACACACUCAAACACUCACACACACAUAUUAUAUUUAUAUAUAUAUAUAUAUAUAUAUAUUUAUAUAUCGUAGCAAGCUAAUCCAUUUCUAUUCGGGUGUGGCUACACGUAAGACAAUUGUAUCCCAAGUGGAAGAGGCUACAGGUGCAAGACAUUUCCGCGUGGUGGUGCUCUGACACUCAGUAGCACCAUGCGGUGAUUAGGAAGUAAAAGUAACACUGUUC